GUUUUUGGUUUUCUGCAUUAGACACGUGCAAUUAGUUUCGUUCCGAAUGUAAACCAGCUGUUCCCACCUCCUAUAACCUCCGAUCCAGUACCAGCACUUUAUUUAGUCUACCUCAAUACAAAAAGAAAGCAGCCCGAUCCUCCUUCUCCUACAGAGCGCCGCAAUUAUGGAACGACCUCCCGCACACUUUCAAAUCUUCCCCAAGCCUAAAGUCCUUUAAGAUUUCCCU